rnacentral:rRNA from 1 species
UAACCGGCGAACGGGUGCGUAACACGUGAGCAACCUGCCGAUCUGAGGGGGAUAGCCGGCCCAACGGCCGGGUAAUACCGCAUACGGUUUCUAUGGGACACCCUGUGGGAACGAAACCUCCGGGGCAGAUCGAGGGGCUCGCGGCCUAUCAGCUAGUUGGUGCGGGUAACGGCCCACCAAGGCGACGAUGGCUAGGGGAGCUGAGAGGCUGGUCCCCCACACGGGCACUGAGAUACGGGCCCG